GACGAACGCUGGCGGCGUGCUUAACACAUGCAAGUCGAACGCUGAAGCUUGGUGCUUGCACUGGGUGGAUGAGUGUCGAACGGGUGAGUAAUACGUGAGUAACCUGCCCUUGCUUCUUGGAUAAGCCUGGGAAACUGGGUCUCAUACUGGAUACGACAUGUCCCCGCAUGGUGGUGUGUGGAAAGGGUUUUACUUGUUUUGGAUGGGCUCACGGCCUAUCAGCUUGUUGGUGGGGUAAUGGCUCACCAAGGCGACGACGGGUAGCCGGCCUGAGAGGGUGACCGGCCACACUGGGACUGAGACACGGCGCAGACGCCGACGGGAGGCAGCAGUGGGGAAUAUUGCAAAAUGGGCGGAAGCCUGAUGCAGCGAAGCCGCGUGAGGGAUAACGGCCUUCGGGUUGUAAACCUCUUUCAGCACGGAAGAAGCGAAAGUGACGGUACGUGCAGAAGAAGCGCCGGCUAACUACGUG
rnacentral:rRNA from 1 species